ACUAGGAUCAACAUAAUCACAAUGGAUACAGAAAAUAAAUUCUCGCCUUCUUCUCUCCCAAUAAAAAAGCCACCCUCACAUCAUUCAUUCUCUCAUAAUUUCUGUUACAAAUCAAACAAUCAUAAUUAUUUCACAGUUAUCGUCUCACCUGCAAUAACACUCAUUCCACCAUUGUUAGAUCUAAUGAUUUGGGGUAGGGGAUGAAAGAGGUGGCAUCUAGCGGCUGAGAACGAAGAGGGGCUGUAUCUUGCGGCUAAAGAUCUAAUGUUUGACUUAUGGAAAGACUGCUUCAAAGACUUAUAGACCAGUUGCUUUGCUGGAACAGAGCAGGUGAUUGUAGAAGGGUUUGGAUUUGGAAGAGAUGAUGGAUUAGGGAUUGGGUUUGGGUUUGGGUUUGGGUUUGGGGAAGAUGAUAAUCUCUGAAGUCAAGGAUUAUUUUAUUUUAUAAUUUUAAUUAAUAAUGUGUUAUAAUAAAAGUUACAAUGACCAUUUUACCCCUGAGAAAAAGGACAAAAAUCAAGAUUUUUUGGAAAAAUCUGAGCUAACUUUACUUUUGGACCAAAAUGGCAACAAAAUUGAAACCACAGGGACCUAGAUGCAAAAGGUUUAAGUUUGGAGUAAAGUGGCAAAAGUGAUCAAACCUCGGAGACCAAAAUGGUGUUAAUAUAUAGUAUUUGAUGUGUUGGUAAAUUCAAACAAAAUUAAAAAUUAUGUUGAA